rnacentral:rRNA from 1 species
AUUGAACGCUGGCGGCAUGCUUUACACAUGCAAGUCGAACGGUAACAGGCCUUCUGGUGCUGACGAGUGGCGCACGGGUGAGUAAUGCAUCGGAACGUGCCCAGAGGUGGGGGAUAACGCAGCGAAAGCUGUGCUAAUACCGCAUGUGAUCUGAGGAUGAAAGCGGGGGACCACGCAGCACUGUUUGGCCUCGCGCCUCUGGAGCUGCCGAUGUCUGAUUAGGUAGUUGGUGGGGUAAAGGCCUACCAAGCCGACGAUCUGUAGCUGGUCUGAGAGGACGAACAGCCACACUGGAACUGAGACACGGCCCAGACUCCUACGGGGGGCAGCAGUGGGGAAUUUUGGACAAUGGGCGCAAGCCUGAUCCAGCAAUGCCGCGUGCGGGAAGAAGGCCUUCGGGUUGUAAACCGCUUUUGUACGGAACGAAAAGGCUCUGGCUAAUACCUGGGGCUGAUGACGGUACCGUAAGAAUAAGCACCGGCUAACUACGUG